ACAAAUGUUUAUGUAUACGUUAAUGGUUACUGUGAUCUGAAGAUUGUGGCAAUUUUUUUUUCUCUCUCUAGUUUCUGGCUCUAUGUUAUCUCUCUUGCAUAAAAUUCCAUUUUUGUUGAAACCCUAAUUUAAUUUUUUUAUAUGAUUAUCGAAUUCGAAUUCUGUGCAACUUCCCCUCUAAUUGCAUUUGUGUGCAGUAGUUCUAAAUCCUAAUUUAGUAUUUCAUCGUCUUGUUUGACUGAGACAGCGUGGUAAGAGAAGCUCUGUGGUCGAUAACGACGAUCGGAUAAGUCAGUUGCCGGACGAAAUUCUCACUGAUGUUUUGUCGUUGCUAUCGCUGAAAGAAGCAGGUCGCACUAGUGUUCUUUCGUCCCGUUGGAUGAACCUGUGGAAACACACCCACUCCCUUGAUUUCGACGGUCAAUGCGCGCUACGAGGGAUCUCGAUAUCGAAUGAGGGAAAGAAAAAAUCAUUGGAAGAGGUCGAGAGCCAAUACAAGUUGCUCAAGAGCGAGAAACGCAAGUACAUGAAAUGGGUGAACUCCGUCGUCCAAUCGCACAAAUCUCCCACCGUAAAACAGUUCAGAAUUAAUUACAGUUUAGACACGUCGGACAGGUGUUCGAUCAAUCGGUGGCUUGAAUUCGCCGUUUCCAGACAAGUUCAGAGUUUGGAGCUGGACUUUCCUAUUCCCACAUACUGGGGCGAUUGUUAUCGUUUCCCCGAGGAGUUAUUUGCCCCGAGCAGUAAUAAGGUUUUCGACGUUAAGUCGCUCAAAGAGUUGUCGUUCAAGAAUGUCAACGUGAGCGGCUGAGCUAUCGAGUUCUUUCUACGUAACUGCCCUCUGCUCGAAAAGCUGAUUGUCCGUUCACCUAGAAAAAUAUCGAAGCUCGAAGUUUGUGGUCCGUCGCUCGUGUUGAAACACUUGGAGAUAUUAUGUUUCUCGGGUUUGGAAUCACUUAAAGUUUCUGUUAACCACAAAUUUUUCGUGUCUGCAAAACAUAAAUACAAGACAAGAAAAAUAUAGGAAACAAAUAAAUUUAUUAUCAAACGAAAGCGGAUUACAAUCUCCGUAAUUCCCCUGAUUCUUCUCUCCUAUUCUAAUUUUGAUUCAAGGGCUUAAAAGCUUGUUCUUGAAUCGAACAUAUGAUUUCCUAUCACGAACAUCUCGAAUCUAAAUAUGUUAUGAAUUCGAGGAAUCGAAUAUAUGAUUUCCUAUCACGAACAUCUCGAAUUCAAAUAUGUUAUGAAUUCGAGGCGGAGGCUCGAGACGUGAGCUUGAGAGCUCGAUAUGUGUCUGUGUGAGUCUUAUUUUUAGAUGCACCAAAGAUCUUCUUUUAUAGGCACAAGCUAGGGUUAGGGUUUCUCGACUUGCAUAGUGGGCCAGACAUUUUAAAGCCCAAAUAUAUUAUGGACUUUAAUUUGAGACCUAAAUUAAUAACCGAUUUAUUUUGGUUAUUAAUUAAUAAUUUAUCUCAAAAUUUCGAUGUCUACAAAUGCCCCCACUUCUAGUCUCGGCGAAGAACAUGUCAAAUGAGAGACGAGACUUGAAGUACUCGAAUCUAUUUUCCACCUUUUUUUUUUUUUUUUUUCUUGAACCCCAUUCUUCAAUUUUUGGGUUUAAUUACCAACUUGUUUCAACUUCAGGGACUUAAUUGAAAAGUCGUUAAGGACCGAAUUUCAAUUUGGAUUUUUAUCCCACAAUUUGGGGGAUCGUCCGUAUCUCCUUCACCGGCUUCACCCAUCCCUUUAACAUUCAGACUCUCGCCGCCAUCAGCCAAGACUUUUGCCGUUCAUUCCUCUAACUCUCAUCUACCCGCACCUCAUGACUGUGGAUCCGAAGCAUCCAUUACGUGGCUCUCCAGCUAGUUCAGCGGCGUGCUUGAGGUGGCGAUUUAACUCAGAGUGGUUUGGAGCGGCGGGAUUAGGUGACAACUCCGGCAGCUGAUUUAGGCGGCAAAGCGGGGAGGGCCAGCGCUUGGUGGACGUGAAUUUAAGGUGAUGGAUUUAAGAGGCCACUGGUUUGCGGUGGUGGGAACAUGAGAUAACACCGUCGACUGAUUUGGGUGGGAUGGCAUUUCCGGUCGGCGGCACUGUUGAGGCGGCGGAUCUGAGCGGCCAACGAUUUGCGGCGGCCGGAACAUGACAUUACACCGUCGACUACUUUGCGCGGUGAUGGCAUUUCCGGUCGGCCUCCUUGAUUUGAUGUUAGUGGAAAGAAAUGUUGACAGCAACCGCGGUACCAUUGCUAAGAAAUAUUGACAGCAACCGCGGUACCAUUGCUGUGUUGUCUCCCCCGAUUUCGCUUGUUUCUUUGGUUCCGAUAUGAAAAGAUUGGAUGUGCCAUCUUUCUUUAGCUGCCAUAAAAUUGGAUCUUUUUUUUUUUUUGGCAUUCUUUCCAUCCAUGACUUGAUCUUCUCCGGAUUUGAUUUGGAUUUGAAUAACGUCUUCCGAGGGUCUUGCGACUUGAAUCUCGGAUCGAAACGCUGAACUUUGACGGGUUUUGACUUGAAGAUCUUGGAGUUCUUGAUGUAUUUGACCCUUUAAUCUUCCUUCGAUCUUGAUUUGUUGAAGAACGCCCUCGAUUUGAUGAAGAACGCCUUGAAUUUGAUGAAGAAUGACUUGAAUAUUGUAGAGAGAAUUUUCUCCUACGGUUUUUCUUCUUCUUGAGUUGUGUUUUGAAUUGUGUAGAGAGGGUCCCUAUUUAUAGUGGUAGAAUAAGAGUCCUACUUAAAGUCUACUUGAUGACGUGGCGCGAUUUGAUUGGCUCUCUUUAAAUUGAUAUUUAUCUCUUAUAACUUGGAAGAGAAGAAAUAAUCCUAUUGGCCAAUAAUUAAUUGAUAAUUAUCUCCAUAACUUAUUUUGUAAGAUAAAUUAUAAUUUAAUUUAGACACAAUUUAAUUGGCUAAUUUAAAUAACCAAUUAAUUAAUUUUAUGCGUCUACAGUUUCUUCGGUGCCGAGCCUUACUUCGCUUACGGUUAUGAGUUUAAAGGGAGUUGUGCUCGAGAAUGUUCCGAUGCUAUCCGUCAAGUGCCUUUCCCGCCCGACGAAUCAGCUCCCAACUCGUCGAGGAUGUCGAUGCGGACAUCGAAAUAGACUGCAAUAGUCGAUCGAUCCUUUACCGAUUUCAUUAAAUUCACUUAUGUUGAUUUUGAUUGUGGGUCUCGAAUACCAUCAACUCCGAUCCACAUUGCUUUGAUUUUGGAACAAUAUUUCUCUAUCCGAAUCCUGAAAGUUCCGAUUUCUAGAUUUCCAAUUUUUUGGGAACGGAAUUGGAAUAAAUAUUAGAUUUUUUGAAUUCUGAAUAUUAUUAUGUAUGUUAUAUUAUAGAUAACUAAAAAUAUAGAAAUUCUAAAUCCGCCGAUUACAUUUUGAAUUUUUUUUUUUGGGCAAUUUGUUUCGUUCUUAUUCUUUUUUUUUUUUUUAAGUUUUGCACGUUACCUAGACAAAAGAAAUUUAUAAUUUUUUACCUAAACUCAUUAAAUUGUUUCACGAUGCCUUAAAUAUGUCAUUAAUUUCCACUGGAAUUGUUUGCACGUGCCUGGCAUGUGAGUUUUUCUGAGGGUAUAAACGUCAAUUCCAUUAAAUACAACCCUAGUUAUGAUUGGAUAACUCAGUUACCCAACUAUUAGGGCUUGGGCCUAUAGUCUUUCGUGUAGAAUUUGACCUAGUUUGUCUUUCCUUUUUUUUUUACAACAACUUUUGAAUCAAUCAAUUCGUAUAUUUCAUUUAUAAGAGAUUUUCCUUUUAAAUUUAAUUAAUUCCAUAAGAUUUUUUCUAUUGUUUCUCCGGUUUAUUGUUUGGCAAUUGCGAGGUUCUCUGUACAAAGAUUCAAGCUCCAACCCCAAACGAACAGCGUAAGAUUUCAAUUCAAUUGUUGCUUUAAAAUCCUUAAUCUUGUUGCUAAACUAAAACCCUAAUUUUUCAAGAUUGUUGCUUUAAAAUCCCUAAUUUUGUUGCUAAACUAAAACCCUAAAUUUUCAAGAUUGUUGCUUUAAAAUCCCUAAUUUUGUUGCUAAACUAAAACCCUAAUUUUUUUAUCUGAUACUGUACUGAUAAGGUAUAGCUUUCUGAUUGAAGAUUUAUUUAAUGCAAAACUUUCUUCUUAUUGCGUUGUUAAGUAGUUCUAAUGUACAAUCUUGUUUAACUGACAGUGUGGUAAGAUGAGUUUUGUGGUCGAUGAUCGGAUAAGUCAGUUGCCCGACGACGUUCUUGUCGAUAUAUUGUCUUUUCUAUCGCUCAAAGAAGCAGCUCGAACGAGUGUUCUUUCGUCCCGUUGGAUAAACUUAUGGAAACAUAUAACUUGUCUUGAUUUGGACACGCCAGCUUCGCUCAAAAGCUUCGGACACAAGUACGUGAACUGGGUGAACUCCGUUAUCCGAUCAAACAAAUCCCCCACCUUAAAAAAAUUUAGGAUCCGUUUUCCUGCAGAUGGUAAUUCCAUUACUCAGUGGCUUGAAUUCGCGUUUUCCAGACAUGUUCGGAGUUUGGAGUUGGACUUUCCAGUUUACUAUAAUAACUUUUGUUUCCCCAACGAGUUAUUUGCCCCAAGAAGCAAUACGGUUCUCGAAUUUAAGUCCCUCAAAGCAUUGUCGCUUAAAAGAGUUACUUUGAGAGGUGGAGAAAUCGAGUUAUUUUUACGUAACUGCCCUUUACUCGAACAAUUGAUUGUCCAUACCGCAUGGAACAUACCAACGAUCGAAGUUUGUGGUCCAUCGCUCGUGCUGAAACACUUGGAGAUAGUCAACUGCACGGGCUUGCAAUCACUUAAAGUUUACGCUCCGAAUCUCGCCUCGCUUAGGGUUACGAGUCUAAAAGGAGUUUCGCUCGAGAAUGUUCCAAUGCUGGUUGAUGCAACCGUCAGUUGCGACUAUGAUAGUAUUUCUGUGAAACAUUUACUUUCUGUAUUGUCUAGCUGCAUUUCUCAAUUGGAGACUCUUAAUUUGGUGUUGUCGAAGAGUUACGAUAGAGAAACGAACGAGCUCUACAGUUAUUUCCCUGAAAUGCCUAAAUUGAAUAAGUUGGUCAUCGAAUGUUUUUCAUUUGACGAUCAAAGUCUCGUUAGGUUCGCUUCUCUGAUAAGGGCGUCUCCUUACUUGCAGGAACUUGUUUUACAUGUAGGUUAUAAUAAGUUUCUCUCAAAGUUUUUUUUUUUUUUUUUUUUUUUUUAGUGUUCGUCUGUAUCAACAUGUAAUAAAAAGCAAACAUAAAUACGCUACUUGAAUGAUUUUCGUCUACGUGUGCAGAAUAAAAGGUUAGAAGGUCGGCUAAAGCAUAGACAAGGGGACUAUGAUGCUGCAGCUAUUAAUGCAAGGUUUCGGCACGAGCAUCUUAAAGUGUUCAGAUUUUGUGGAUAUCAGUUUUGCUCCAGUAACAAUGCAUUAGUUCGGUACAUUUUGAAGAACUGCACAGUGCUUGAGAAAAUAAUAAUCGAUCCGUGUGUUAUAUUUUUUUACAACCGAUCAAGUCGCGUGAUGCUGGAAAAAAGUGCGAGAGACGUGGCAAAACAACAUAUUGAGCCGCAAUUGCCUCACGGCGUUGAAUUGGUUAUUCUUUAACUUUCUCAAUUGAGACUAAUACUUAGUAUAUGUGUCGUGAACAACAAUAUUGAAUGUUGGAUUUGAUACUUCAAUUAACAUCAAUUUGAAUUCAAUUAAUUUUGAUUUUGGAACAUAUAUUUUUGAUAUGAAUCCCAAAAGUUCCGAUUUCUAAUUUCCAAUUUGUAUUUCUAUUUUUUAUUUUUGAUUGAAAUUGGAAUAAAUAUUUGAAUGGAAAACAGCUAAGCAAGGUAAAAAUGAAUUAAAUUGAUUAGCUAGCUCACACGAUAAUCCGAUAAAUCAUAAAGAGAUCGAUAAACGGGAAAUCUCGAGCCCAACUAUGCCGUGAAAUGAACCGUUUUACCUAAUCUUUAAUUUUGUUUAGUCGACAUUGUUCUACUUAAUAAACGUGUCCACAUUUCUUUAAUUUAAAUAAUCAACGUUUGCGUAGUUAGAGCAACGAAUGCGACGCCGUUUCCGAUCUUCUGCAUGGAAGUACGUACAGCGGAGUGUGCGCUGCAUGUGACCCUUACCUCACCUUUGGAUGCUGCCUAUAAAUAGCCCGACGAUGUACCGAUCUAUCACUUUAUGCUUUAUCCGAUUAUCGUGUUAGCUAUCUAAUCAAUUUAAUUAAUUUUUACCUUGCUUAGCUGUUUUCGAUUCAAGUCUCGUAAAACCCUAAUUUCCAUAUCCAGAAUCUAGUACACUUCAACUGGUUUUGACUAUUUGAAUUAUUAUUUUCUCCGAUUUAUGUUAGAUAUGCAAUGGUUGCGUUGAAUCGAUUCGAUAGACGAUAUUCAACCAAUCCAAUCGAUUGCCAUCCCUAUAUAGAAAAGAAAUCUACUAUUUUUUCUUUUUUUUUUUUUUUUGAGGAAAGAAAUCUACUAUUUGUUGACCGAUUGUAUGGAAAAAUAUUGAUUGACAAUAUUAAACAAACUAUUUAUUUUAGGAAAUAUUUUGGUAUUAUGCAGGGUUACAGCAAAUUAAUUUAUAAUAAAAUAUAAGGAAUACAAUCAAAAAUGUUAAAAUAUUAAUACGAUGAGGUUGGCAUGAAAUUACACAGAUACGUCUUUUACAAAUGGAUUUUUCAGUUGACACGCGUCGUUACAGAAAAACCUCAAAGCAAUUGAUGCAAUAUUAUUCUCCGUCUAUAAAACAUCACUUCAUUUCUAGGUUUUCUAGGUUUCUCCGUUUUUCUGUCUCCGUCAACUGCAAAGAGCCAUGUCCGAAAAUUCAAGCUUUAUGGAUGAUGGGAAGCGACUCAAAAUCGACACCAAAGCUCAAACCCAGAUGAACAAGGUCAGCUUUCAUCGACAAAUCUUCUAUCUCUUUUCUCUUUACUUGUGUGUGUGUGUGUGUUAACUAAUCCUGUAUGUAUAUGCCCCUCGAAUAAAAUCCCUAAUUUUGAUGGUAUAAGAAAUCCCUAAUUUUAAUGGUAUGUGGACACCCUAACUUUGAUGGUGUGUGAAACCCUAAUUUUGAUGGUGUGUAAAGCCCUAAUUUUGAUGGUGUGUGAAGCCCUAAUUUUGAUGGUAUAUGAAAACCCUAAUUUUGAUGGUGUAUGAAACCCUAAUUUUGAUGGUGUAUGAAGCCCUAAUUUUGAUGGUAUCUGAAAACCCAAAUUCUAAUUUUUUUUUUUAUAUAUAUGAUUUUUGAACAUCUAGUACCAUGUUUCUUUCUCGGGUUCAAUUUGCAACAACAAGAUAUCAAAUUCUCUGGGAAUGAUGAUUCGAUUAUGAUUUAGUAUUUAUAUUCUUUGACCGACAGUGUGGUGAGGCAAGUUUUGCGGGAGGUGAUGAAGAUCGGAUAAGUCAGUUAUCAGAUGGCAUUCUUGUCGAUAUAAUCUCUCUCCUACCGCUCAAGGAAGCAGGUCGAACCAGCAUCCUUUCACCCCGUUGGAAAAACCUUUGGAAACGCACACCCUCUCUCGAUUUCGAAUCUCAAAAUGCAUACCGACCAAACCUUAAAAAGUUACUUAACUGGGUGGACUCCGUUAUCAAAUCGCACAAAUCUCCUGCAUUGAAAGAUUUCAGAAUCUGUUUUCCUUUAGACAGAUCGUCCGAUGAUUCAAUCACCCGUUGGCUCGAAUUCGCAUUCUCCAAACAAGUUGAGAUGCUGGAGUUGAACUUCGAGAGCUACCCGUUUUGUUACUAUUGGUACGAAUAUUAUCGUUUCCCGAAGGAGUUGUUUGCACCAAGUAACACACUUUUCGACUUCAGUUCCCUCAAAGGAUUGGGGUUCAAGUGUGUUAACAUGCGCGGUGGAGCUAUCGAGUUACUUUUACGUAACUGCCCUCUUCUCGAACAAUUGAUUCUCCGUUGGCCAGGAAGAAUAACAAAGAUCGAAGUUUGUGGCUCGUCGCUCGUGCUGAAACACUUGGAGAUAGUCAAUUGCACUGAUUUGGAAUCGCUCAAGAUUUCCGCCCCGAGGCUUGCGUCGCUUAGGGUUACGAGUUUGGCGGGGCUUUUGCUCGAGAACGUUCCGAUGCUAGUUCAUGUCACCGUCGGUUUUAACAGAGAGUGCGUUUCUAUGAAACGUGUGCUCUCGGUGUUUUCUUGCUGCGUUUCGCAAUUGGUGACGCUUAAAUUGGAGAUGCGGAUGUGUAACGUCGUAGACGAAACGGAGGAGCUUUGCCAGCUGGCUGAAAUGCCGAGAUUGAAGAAGUUGGUCGUUGAAUAUGAUAUGUGUGACGUCGGAAUUGUUGGCCAAGUCGCUUCUUGGAAAAGGGCAUUUUCGUACGUGCAUGAAUUUGUUUUGGUGGUACGUAAUUUUCUCUUUUCAAUUUUCUUGUACGAUUUGUUUUCACGUGUCGUUAAUUGUUUAUUGAUUUAUUUAUUAAUUUAUUGAUUUAUCCACGUGUGCAGGAUAAAUGGAAUGAACGUAGGAUGCGGCGUAAUGGAGCCAUGAAGCUCGUUAAUUAAAACGACGUAGAGAAAAUAAUACUUGAACUUACAUGUGGAGCAAUCUGCGAUAAUUGUCGCGUCGUUUGAAGGAAGUAUUGUUGUUUCUUUUUUCGGGUUUAUUUUUCGUUUUGAUGUUUUCCUUUUUUUUUUGUUUCUGGUAGAAGACAUUAAUCCAAGUACGGAUUUAAAUUGUGCGUCUGAUCUCGAAUAUUGGAUUUGGUACUCUGAAAACAUUCGAUUUGGGUUGAAACUUGAAUGAACUUUUCGAAUUCCGUAUAUUUCGAUCCAAGUAAAAUUGAUUUUAGCACAAUAUUUUUCUGUCUGAAUACUUAAUAUUUCGAUUUCCGAUUUUUCCAAAUUUUGUUGGAACGGAAUUUGAAUAUUUAUAUGCAAUUACGAUGUCCUAUUUGGUUAUCUACGACACUUCUACCAUGUACUCUGUACUGCAGGUGGCUGAAGAAGUAGAAAUUGCGAAUUUUGUUGAUUUUGAUCAAUAAAAUUCCAAUUUUGAAACAAUUUAUUUCAUUUAAAUUUCUGAAAUUCCAAUUUCCAAAUUCUGGGAUUUUUUAAUGGGGGAAGCCCUAGCUUAACCAUAAUAAAGUAGCCCGAGCUCUGUAAUUUUCCGGAUAAAUGUGCUAUUAUAAGGUUUCCACUGCAUAUUUCCACAACAGAAUAUAGUCGAUUUUACUUCCAUCGAAUUUAUGUGAUAGUUUACGUAAUCGCUUAUAGUUGAUUAAUAAAUUAACUACAUAAAGUACUCAGUUGAUUUACGUCCAGUUUAAUCGAGAGUUUCGCGAUAAAAUAAAUUAAAUUAAAUUAAAUGCCAUAAUUACAAAUGAUUAGACGAAUCAGGAGCAAAUCCUGCUAUAUGAUUGGAUUAUGCUUCCUAAACAUGCAAAUAAUUAAUCAUAACCCUGAUAAAACCAAAAAAAAUAAUACCCAAUUUAAUUGUUAAUUAAUCACUAGUACUGACAGAAAACCCAUAAUUUAUAUGCAUAUUCACCUACUGAAUUUAUUUAAUUAUUUUAUUUUAAAAGAUUGUGCAACAAUAUCUAUAAUAAGUAUUUUUUGGAAUCUUAACACUGUAUUAUUGUCAUUAUAUAUAUAUUUAUAUUGCAUGGGAGUGAAUUAAAUUAUUAACUAGAAAAGGUAUACUAUACUAAUAUAUAUAUCAUUAUCAAUAAUUCAAUAGUGAUGGGCGACCAGUCAUAUAGAGGGGGGACAAAGAGCCGAUUUUUGCGGGAAUUAAUGUUAAUUAUGCAAAAUAUAAUCAUGUUUUUUCUUUUGACGUUUUCCUAAACAUUAUCUAAUUAGAGGGAUUAAUUUAAAAAUUAAGUCUAGACAAGAUCAUAUGUAUAUGCUGCGGCUAAAUUAAUUAUGCCUGUUUUUUUCUGCAGGUUCAUCUUUGACGUGUAUUUAUUAUUGAACAUUACUACUCUACUCCUCUUGCCACAUAUAUAUAUAUAUAUAUAUAUAUAUAUAUAUAUAUAUAUAUAUAUUAGAGUCAGGAUUUUAAGUUCGAGGGGUCGAAUGCAUUAAAAGAAUUCUGAAGGAGACUGUUACUGUUAUUGUACGUAAAUGUUAUAUUACUACUCCUCUUGCCAUUUAUAUAUAUAUAUAUAUAUAUAUAUAUAUAUAUAUAUAUAUAUAUAUAUAUAUAUAUAUAAAAGUUCGAGGGGUUGAAUGUAUUAAAAGAAUUCUGAAGGAGACCGUUAAUGCUAUUGUACGUAAAUGUUAUAUUUCUAUAUAAAUUAAUAUUAUUUUGAGAAAUGUUAGGGGGGUCGUGACCCCCAGACUCUAUGCUGACUUCGCGACCGGACACCUAGUUAAUUAAUAUAUAUUUAUGAAGGAUCAUCCAUAAUAAUAAUAAAGAGUGAAUAAUAAUCCCAUAAAAUAUGUUUCCACACAUGUAACCUACUAUAUAGGAAUAACAUGGACCAAACCUUAUAAUUUUUGGCUUCACACAUACAACAAUAACAUGAUUUGGUCAUUGCAUAAAAAUACAACCACAUGGGAUGAUUAUGGGCAAUUCAAUUCUGGAUAUUAAUUUUAAUUUUUAAUUUGAUUUUAUAUUGUGGAUGUAACGCAUGCUGACGUGGACCAAUUAGGAAAACGCAAUGUCACAUGGCUACAUAUAUACACACUUCUCUAUCAAAUGUAUAGACUAUGGAAGGCAGUUUGAUUUUUUGAUCCCAUGAUUCACAACACUCAAAUUUAAUGUACUAAAUUAAUUAAUUUUAUUUAUUGCCCCUUUGUCGUGUUUGUCUUUGUCUAUAUAGUUCAGUUUUCUGAUAGUUGGGUUUUCAAGAAAAUUAAAUAAAAAGGACCACAUUACAUGCUAAGCCAAACAGCGCCUUAUGAUGAUGUAUCCUUAAGGUUUCUCAUUCUGGCGCCAAAAUUAAUCUAACUAUAUAUGCUGUCUUUUUUUCUUUUUUCUUUUUUUAAUUAUUAUUUUAUUUACUUAUCUAUUUAUCAUUUAUUUUCUGAGUAUGCUGUCUUAAAAUUGAUGUUUGGUGGACAAUUGGACAUUGAUAUGUACCAGAUUCCGGUUCAUUGGAUGUAAAUUGAGACGUGCAAUUUCUUCUAAGUAUUCCAAACCAAUUAAUUAAUUUGAUUAAUUGAUUAAUUAUUUUUGGAGGGGGUUUAUACAUGUAGUUGGUCCUUUAAUUCCCACGUAAUUAAUACAGUAGGAUUUAACCAUUUAGGUUUUUGUCUUUAAAGCAAAAACCUAAUGAACGAUUUUAUAUAAAAAAAAAAAAAUUUAAUUGAUCUCGAGCUCAAGCAGUUCUUAAGGUAUUAUAUGAAAUCAAAGUUGGGAAUUAAGUUGAUUAAUAAAUGAUGAAGGCGGAUGUGUACGCCGAUACUCGGCGCUAGAAUACAACAUUUCUCAAUUUUUUAUUAUUUUAUAUAGAAUAUAAAUAAAAAAUUGUGUACAACCGCAUUAACAGUCCCCUCGAAAAUUCUUUAGUGCAUUCGGCCUCCUAAACUUAAAAUUCGGGCUCGGCUAGUGGUCGAACUUGCACAUGUUUGUCGCUUUCCAUAACAAUGUUUGAUUUGGAAGAAAGAAAUAAAUUGCACACCAAACAUUUAUAAUUAUAGUUGAAUGUGAAUAGGAACAAGGCCAUAUAAAAUAUAAAAUGGGUUCCACCCCACCGGAAAUUUUUAUUACUAUUAUUAUCUAUUUAUUUAUUAUUGUUAUUAAUUACUAUUAUCAAUGUUUGCAAUUUUUAACCUUUUUUUAAUACAUUAAAUGUCCUGCUAAAGUAAAUUUAGAUUAAUUAAAAAGAAAAGAAAAAGUGAAGUAUAGAAUAUUCAAUGCAAUUUUCAAUAGGUUAUAAAAAGUGCUUUUAAACAAGAACAAAAAUCUGAGAUCACCACUUAAAAGUUACAAAGCACUUAUUUCAAGUUUCAACAGUAAACUUUUUUAUGGAAUAUUCGCUUUUCCGGCAAAUUUACCAUCAAAUUUUUAUGGGUAAUAAUAUAGAGUAAACUGCAAAAACCACCCCUGUAUAAUCUCAGAAAUAGCAAAAACCCGCCCUAUGAUAAAUAAACUAGCAAAAACUCCCCUGUGAAAUACUUAAAUAGCAAAAACCCCCNNNNNNNNNNNNNNNNNNNNNNNNNNNNNNNNNNNNNNNNNNNNNNNNNNNNNNNNNNNNNNNNNNNNNNNNNNNNNNNNNNNNNNNNNNNNNNNNNNNNAGGAUGAGGUAGUGGUUUGGGUGAGGUUCGUGCAAGAGUCUUUUGUGAAAAUAGUAAAAAGAAGCAGUCCUAAAAAAAAGAUUUUUUUGACUUGUGACCUAUUCGGGGAAAAACGAGAAUGUCCAUCAACUAAUCCAGAAGCGCGCCCGAGAAGGACCGGUAGCAAAAAGAUAGGCUGUGGUUUUUAUAUUGUCGGAGAGCUACGAUGGGAUGAUAAAUGGGAGGUCAGAGUAAUAUACGGGAAGCAUAAUCAUGUUCCGAUAUACAAGUCCGGGCAUGGGAUGAGUGCAUUGUCUCAGGAGGAGGCGAAGAUCAUUAGUGAUCUGUCACAAAGUCAUGUGCCGCCCAAGAAGAUUUUGGCUAACUUGAGACAAAAUGGUUUGGGCCUCGAUGCUUAUUCAAAACAAAUAUACAAUCAGAAGGCGAAAUUGAAAAGACUAUCUAGGGGUGACCGUACAGUGAUGCAACAUUUGAUUGGGUUGCUUGAGGAGCAUAACUAUUACAAGUGGUUCCGCACUGAUGAAACUACACAUGCAGUUACUGAUUUGAUGUGGGCUCACCCUCAAUCUGUGGAAUUGUUAAGUAAGUUUCCGUACGUAUUACUACUUGACAGUACUUACAAAACAAAUCAGUACAAAUUGCCUUUGUUGGAGAUUGUUGGUGUUAUUCCUGUCGGGAAAAAUUUUACUGUUGCAGUCGCAUUUUUGCGCCAUGAAAAUGAAGACCAUUACACAUGGGUGUUGCAAAAGCUGAAGAGACUUUUCCCCCCUCAGACUCUACCUAGUGCCAUCGUGACGGAUCGAGAGUUAGGGCUCAUAAAGGCGCUAGAGAAUGUAUUUCCGACCGUACCUCAUCUCUUAUGUCUUUGGCACAUUAACAUGAAUGUGGGGCGUCGUGCUUCAAGAUGUCUCGGCAAUAGUAGGCGUCGCGGCACGGCUUUUGUAGUUGGCGUGUGGCAAACUUUGGUAAAAUCAGUGUCUGAAGAAGAUUUCGCCAGGAAUUACACAGCUUUGACGGACGAGUACGCGAAUUAUCCAGAUUUGAUUGAGUAUCUCCAAUACACUUGGCUCGUAUACAAAGAGAAAUUUGUAAAAGCAUGGACGGAUCUAAUUUUCCAUUUGGGUAAUACAUCGACAAGCAGGUAUUUAUUUAUAAGUGGUUAAAUACAUAUACUUAACUUACUGUCAUGUAGUUUAUUGAAACAUAGCAUAUUCUAAACAUAUUAGGGUGGAGAGCAACCAUAGAGCAUUGAAGAGAUGGUUGGAAUCGUCCACGGGUGGCUUCGACACAUUUUGGGCACAGUAUCACUCAAUGAUGAAAGAUCAAUUUAACGAGAUACUAGCCGAUUUUGCAAAAUCAAAGAGGAUUCGGGCCCAGACGAUCAACGUGCCCGUAUUUAAAAUAUUGUCCAGUGGAAUUGUAACACAUAAUGCUCUGCAGAUGUUGGACGAUGAGAAGGAUGAAGACAUAGACGGUUGCGUCUGUUAUAUGAGGAAAUGUCUUGGACUCCCAUGCAGACAUGAAAUUCGUGCAAAGAUGAAUGCACGACGUGGUGUGUUUUAUGCAGAGGAUGUCCACAUUUUUUGGAGGACAUUUAUUUCGGGAUUCGGGGAUUCCCUAGAUGAAAGUGUUGGUUCUGUUCCCGACCACAGGUCACAGGCUAUUGGCAGGCUAGAAGGGUUAAUGAAUGAUUUGCGUGAGCGGUCAGAAAUUGAGAUCACGGACGUGACAGAUGCCAUUUUUGAACGAAUGCAUCCCGGGGCCAUGGAAAUGAAUGCGCCACAAGUACUAGACUGCCCGAGAGGUAGACCGCGGACGAACUCUACACAGAGGGAUUGGUCAGGGCAUGAGUUUCCAUUAUUUCCGGGAGAAGGUGAAGAGUCUGGACGAGGGCGAGGACGAGGACGAGGACGAUCACGAGGCAACAGAGGGCGUGGUUCAUCUUCUGAGAGAUCUAGCCGUGGUCGCGCUCGUUCAUCGACCGUGAGUGGACCCGCAAUAGGUCAAAUUCCCCGACCCCCUUGGAUGCGACACCUUCAUUUCUGCCUUGUUCCGGAGGUUGUGACGUGGACGGACGUUCAAGGGGAUGGUAAUUGUGGUUAUCGAAGCGUCGCGUGUGCAGUGAAGAACCACGAGGAUGAUUGGAUGGAUGUUAGAAUGGAUGUUUAUAACUGUAUUAAAACACACGAAGAGUUCUUCAAGGAUUAUUUCGGUGGUGGUAAUUUAGUGUAUCGGGUAUUGGCGAGUGUCGCUUAUUGGGACAACGCCCCAGCACCCUAUGAGAAGUGGAUGACUAUCACGGACGUGGGCGUGGUUGUGGCAACAUAUUACAACGCGUUGGUCUUGUCGGCUAGCAGCUUGGGCAAUCAGACUUAUUUACCACUUUGGGCUCCCGAAGGUGUUUCACAGUUAUCUUACGAGAUGACUAUACUAUUUCUUGAAUCAGGAAGCCACUUUGUGUACGUGAAGAUGAAUGACAAUUGUCCGCUUCCUCCGUUUGAUAGACAGUGGGCGAGGUAUAGCAACAAUAGUGUUGCAUAUCUACCAGAGGCGUUGCGGAGUCGACGUGAAAUGUGGGAUAUUCUUAAUAGUGUUUGAUUUAGUUUUGUUUAUUUUGUUGGAAUGAAUGUGUUACUGGAUCGUCACGGUCCAACUGAAGAUACUCAGCGAAUGGGGCGCACAUGUCCUGGAUCGUCCUGAAGAAGUCAUCGGGGAUACGCCGAUAUCCUGGAAUAGUAGAAGGAGGCAAGUUAUCGUAGAAGUACGGAUGCAACACUCGGGUGAGGUCAUAUAUAGCCGGAACUGCAGAUGGCUCCGCUCUCUCAACCGGCUCGGUACUAGGAUCUACACGGACGUGAGUGUGGUCUAGAUACCACGGCAAAUACUCCGGAUCCGACUCCCAAGCUGGACGCGCCUUCCGACCAUAGUAAUCUCGACUAAGCAUGUGCGUGUGGGGGAUACUCCACAUCUGAUCGCCGGGCUCAUAGUUAACCUUGUAAGAUAAUAAUACGGCAUAAUUAAUAAAAUAUGCAACAACAACAACAGCACCAACAGCAACAACAACAACAAUACGGGAAAUAAUAAUACGGCAUAAUUAAUAAAAUAUGCAACAACAACAACAACAACAACAACAACAACAACAACAAUAAUAAUAAUAAUAAUAAUAAUAAUAAUAAUACCUCUAAUAGUGUCAGACAUCCAGCAAUCUGCGCCGCCUCAGCUCGCGUAGCCAUGCCCAACUGUCGGUACAGAUAGGCCAAUGUAGCCGAACCCCAAGAAUACUCGCGAAUCAGAUUGAUUUCCUCUAACAGUGGGAAAAAAUCUGCUCUGACCUUCGAUCCACUCUUAUCCACGAACAACAACUUUCCGAGCAAGUAUGCAAUAUAUGCUCGUACUCGAUACGCGGAAGGAAAGGUAGAAUUGUCGCCAUAUUUCACCUCCAAAUCAUCUAACCGGGGUCCGCCACCAUACCACCAAUGCUCCAUAAGUGCGGGGUCGACUCCGAAAGCUCUCGCACCAAGCUGGAUCGCGUCGGCCUUAUCCAUCCAGACGUUAGGGCGAGUUCCACUAACUNNNNNNNNNNNNNNNNNNNNNNNNNNNNNNNNNNNNNNNNNNNNNNNNNNNNNNNNNNNNNNNNNNNNNNNNNNNNNNNNNNNNNNNNNNNNNNNNNNNNCACUGCCGGGCGCCCGACUUGGGCUUUUGAAUUUUAAACCUUUUUUUUUUUUUUUUUUUUUUAAAUCAAUUUUUUUAUGUUUUUUUCAGGACGAUACGACUACAUUUGAAGUUGAUCAUACCGAUUAUUUUACCACUACUCAGUUGUUUGACUCAAAGGAUGAGGUAGUGGUUUGGGUGAGGUUCGUUGCAAGAGGUCUUUUUGUGAAAAUAGUAAAAAGAAGCAGUCCUAAAAAAAAGAUUUUUUUGACUUGUGACCUAUUCGGGGAAAAACGAGAAUGUCCAUCAACUAAUCCAGAAGCGCGCCCGAGAAGGACCGGUAGCAAAAAGAUAGGCUGUGGUUUUUAUAUUGUCGGAGAGCUACGAUGGGAUGAUAAAUGGGAGGUCAGAGUAAUAUACGGGAAGCAUAAUCAUGUUCCGAUAUACAAGUCCGGGCAUGGGAUGAGUGCAUUGUCUCAGGAGGAGGCGAAGAUCAUUAGUGAUCUGUCACAAAGUCAUGUGCCGCCCAAGAAGAUUUUGGCUAACUUGAGACAAAAUGGUUUGGGCCUCNNNNNNNNNNNNNNNNNNNNNNNNNNNNNNNNNNNNNNNNNNNNNNNNNNNNNNNNNNNNNNNNNNNNNNNNNNNNNNNNNNNNNNNNNNNNNNNNNNNNUUGGGUUGCUUGAGGAGCAUAACUAUUACAAGUGGUUCCGCACUGAUGAAACUACACAUGCAGUUACUGAUUUGAUGUGGGCUCACCCUCAAUCUGUGGAAUUGUUAAGUAAGUUUCCGUACGUAUUACUACUUGACAGUACUUACAAAACAAAUCAGUACAAAUUGCCUUUGUUGGAGAUUGUUGGUGUUAUUCCUGUCGGGAAAAAUUUUACUGUUGCAGUCGCAUUUUUGCGCCAUGAAAAUGAAGACCAUUACACAUGGGUGUUGCAAAAGCUGAAGAGACUUUUCCCCCCUCAGACUCUACCUAGUGCCAUCGUGACGGAUCGAGAGUUAGGGCUCAUAAAGGCGCUAGAGAAUGUAUUUCCGACCGUACCUCAUCUCUUAUGUCUUUGGCACAUUAACAUGAAUGUGGGGCGUCGUGCUUCAAGAUGUCUCGGCAAUAGUAGGCGUCGCGGCACGGCUUUUGUAGUUGGCGUGUGGCAAACUUUGGUAAAAUCAGUGUCUGAAGAAGAUUUCGCCAGGAAUUACACAGCUUUGACGGACGAGUACGCGAAUUAUCCAGAUUUGAUUGAGUAUCUCCAAUACACUUGGCUCGUAUACAAAGAGAAAUUUGUAAAAGCAUGGACGGAUCUAAUUUUCCAUUUGGGUAAUACAUCGACAAGCAGGUAUUUAUUUAUAAGUGGUUAAAUACAUAUACUUAACUUACUGUCAUGUAGUUUAUUGAAACAUAGCAUAUUCUAAACAUAUUAGGGUGGAGAGCAACCAUAGAGCAUUGAAGAGAUGGUUGGAAUCGUCCACGGGUGGCUUCGACACAUUUUGGGCACAGUAUCACUCAAUGAUGAAAGAUCAAUUUAACGAGAUACUAGCCGAUUUUGCAAAAUCAAAGAGGAUUCGGGCCCAGACGAUCAACGUGCCCGUAUUUAAAAUAUUGUCCAGUGGAAUUGUAACACAUAAUGCUCUGCAGAUGUUGGACGAUGAGAAGGAUGAAGACAUAGACGGUUGCGUCUGUUAUAUGAGGAAAUGUCUUGGACUCCCAUGCAGACAUGAAAUUCGUGCAAAGAUGAAUGCACGACGUGGUGUGUUUUAUGCAGAGGAUGUCCACAUUUUUUGGAGGACAUUUAUUUCGGGAUUCGGGGAUUCCCUAGAUGAAAGUGUUGGUUCUGUUCCCGACCACAGGUCACAGGCUAUUGGCAGGCUAGAAGGGUUAAUGAAUGAUUUGCGUGAGCGGUCAGAAAUUGAGAUCACGGACGUGACAGAUGCCAUUUUUGAACGAAUGCAUCCCGGGGCCAUGGAAAUGAAUGCGCCACAAGUACUAGACUGCCCGAGAGGUAGACCGCGGACGAACUCUACACAGAGGGAUUGGUCAGGGCAUGAGUUUCCAUUAUUUCCGGGAGAAGGUGAAGAGUCUGGACGAGGGCGAGGACGAGGACGAGGACGAUCACGAGGCAACAGAGGGCGUGGUUCAUCUUCUGAGAGAUCUAGCCGUGGUCGCGCUCGUUCAUCGACCGUGAGUGGACCCGCAAUAGGUCAAAUUCCCCGACCCCCUGGAUGCGACAACUUCAUNNNNNNNNNNNNNNNNNNNNNNNNNNNNNNNNNNNNNNNNNNNNNNNNNNNNNNNNNNNNNNNNNNNNNNNNNNNNNNNNNNNNNNNNNNNNNNNNNNNNGAACCACGAGGAUGAUUGGAUGGAUGUUAGAAUGGAUGUUUAUAACUGUAUUAAAACACACGAAGAGUUCUUCAAGGAUUAUUUCGGUGGUGGUAAUUUAGUGUAUCGGGUAUUGGCGAGUGUCGCUUAUUGGGACAACGCCCCAGCACCCUAUGAGAAGUGGAUGACUAUCACGGACGUGGGCGUGGUUGUGGCAACAUAUUACAACGCGUUGGUCUUGUCGGCUAGCAGCUUGGGCAAUCAGACUUAUUUACCACUUUGGGCUCCCGAAGGUGUUUCACAGUUAUCUUACGAGAUGACUAUACUAUUUCUUGAAUCAGGAAGCCACUUUGUGUACGUGAAGAUGAAUGACAAUUGUCCGCUUCCUCCGUUUGAUAGACAGUGGGCGAGGUAUAGCAACAAUAGUGUUGCAUAUCUACCAGAGGCGUUGCGGAGUCGACGUGAAAUGUGGGAUAUUCUUAAUAGUGUUUGAUUUAGUUUUGUUUAUUUUGUUGGAAUGAAUGUGUUACUGGAUCGUCACGGUCCAACUGAAGAUACUCAGCGAAUGGGGCGCACAUGUCCUGGAUCGUCCUGAAGAAGUCAUCGGGGAUACGCCGAUAUCCUGGAAUAGUAGAAGGAGGCAAGUUAUCGUAGAAGUACGGAUGCAACACUCGGGUGAGGUCAUAUAUAGCCGGAACUGCAGAUGGCUCCGCUCUCUCAACCGGCUCGGUACUAGGAUCUACACGGACGUGAGUGUGGUAUAAUAAUACCUCUAAUAGUGUCAGACAUCCAGCAAUCUGCGCCGCCUCAGCUCGCGUAGCCAUGCCCAACUGUCGGUACAGAUAGGCCAAUGUAGCCGAACCCCAAGAAUACUCGCGAAUCAGAUUGAUUUCCUCUAACAGUGGGAAAAAAUCUGCUCUGACCUUCGAUCCACUCUUAUCCACGAACAACAACUUUCCGAGCAAGUAUGCAAUAUAUGCUCGUACUCGAUACGCGGAAGGAAAGGUAGAAUUGUCGCCAUAUUUCACCUCCAAAUCAUCUAACCGGGGUCCGCCACCAUACCACCAAUGCUCCAUAAGUGCGGGGUCGACUCCGAAAGCUCUCGCACCAAGCUGGAUCGCGUCGGCCUUAUCCAUCCAGACGUUAGGGCGAGUUCCACUAACUCGCAAACCCAUGAUGAAAUGCACGUCGUGCAGGGUAAUUGUCAUCUCACCGAAUGGCAUGUGAAAACUGUUGGUGUCCGGCUGCCACCUCUCAAUAAAAGCCUCUAUUAAUGGGUUAUUGUGCUGAGGCAGCGAACAAUCACGCAAGUGAUACAAGCCGGUACUCUCAAGUAGUGAGACACAAUCAUCGUCGUCGGGGCCCGGCCAAGUACACUUCGCGUGCGACCGUAAUUUAACCAUAUGUCGUCCCUGUUCAAGAUAUAUUCAUAUAUAAGUAUACCACAAACAAGUGUAAAUAUUAUAAACAAAAUUUAUUAAUAUUAAUAAGUAUUACCUUUCCCUCCCAAAUGUCGUAGGCAAUAUGUGCUCCAAAACUUGGAAUCAAGUGAGCGUAUUUAGGUCCACCGGGUGUCUCACCGGUCAACAUCCAAGGUCGAGAAGGAAGUUUUUUUCUCGGAGCGGUGCGGGACCUCGAGGCAGGAUUAGAACCACCGAAAGUACCACCCAUCGGGACAGGAGACGGAGUCGGAGUCGGAACAUCCUCGUAAUCGUCAUCGGAUGGAAAAUCCGGCACCGGAAACUGAUACUUCUGCUGAAAGCGUAGUUGUGGAUCGUACUCGUACUCCUGCGGCUGCAUAUAUGCAUCCAUGGGUGCAUCCAUCUCCUGCUCGGCCUCUGUCUCUGUCUCCUCCUGAAUCAUCGUACGUGGGGGUACAAAAGCACCAGUGCGUUCCCCACGACGUUUAGAACUAGUCACAUUUCUAUUAUGUGUCCUUCCCUCCCGUUCCGCAGUAGUCUCCACCACCGGAUCUGCAGGUGGACGAAUCAGGGGUCCUUUCCCUUUUCCGAGUCCGAAUUUUUUCGCCCAAUUAGACAUCCUGUAAACAUAAAAUUAUAUUAAAUUUACUAACUUAUUUUAAUUCAGAAAAAAAAUAUUUCUUUUAAAUCAAAAAAAAAAAAAAAAAAAAAAAAAAAAUAUUUAAAUCGAACGCCCGGUUUGGGCGUUUCCCGGCCGAACCUACGCCUGGACCGGGCGCCGUUUCGCCCGGAAAACGCCCAAACCUUUUUUUGAAACAACCAUUUCACGCCUAAACCGGGCGCUUGUAUUUUGAAGGGAGGCCCAAUUGGUAAAUUUGUUUAUGCAGGAAGAGACAUAUUCCUGCUUUUGGUCUCUCAACUCCAAGGAUGAAACAACCCCUCCAAAAUGUAGGGGGGAGGAAAAAAAACAUGGAAAAAGUUCUAAAGCCCGAUGAGAGAGUGCUAGUUUUUUCUCCCCCCCCCUGGAUAUAUAUCCUAAAAAGAUUAAAACCCAGCCCCCGCAUCUGGGAGAACAGCCCAAACUUUAAAAAAACGGUGGGGUUUUUUUAUAUAAAAGAAAAUGGAGAAUGCUCGCAAUUUAUGUCCAGAUGUUCAAGCUUCUAUGGUGUCUCUUUUUUAUUAACUGCUAAACGGGANNNNNNNNNNNNNNNNNNNNNNNNNNNNNNNNNNNNNNNNNNNNNNNNNNNNNNNNNNNNNNNNNNNNNNNNNNNNNNNNNNNNNNNNNNNNNNNNNNNNGCAGCCAGCGCCCGGUUUGGGCGUUUGGCUCUAACAUCCGAAAAAUUCAAAAGCCCUACAAAUUGAUUUGUAGGGCUUUUAAACAUGAAAUUGGUUGCAAAAUCGAGUUACCCAUUGCAUAUAACACAUGUAGGUGUUGAAAUUACCUGAAAAAAUCGAAGCCCAAGCUCGAUUUUGGUUGAUUUCGAAAUUUUUCGAAAAAAAAAAAAAUUUCUGAAAUUUUUGGAAUGGGGGGUAAUUGGAGAGAAUUUCGAAUUUUAGGGGUUUUAGAGAGAUAAACUGUUUUUUACUUUGAACGGUAAAUAGCACUUAUUAGCCCGUAAAGAGCAUUUUCUUAUAAUAUGUAUAUAUUUAAAUACAUUUUGAGGGACAAUUUUGUCAUUUCAAGUCUAAAAAAUCAGCUAGGGGGGAUUCUACCUUUGACUAAAUUUCACAGGGGGUUUUUUGCUAGUUUAUUUAGCACAGGGGGGUUUUUGCUAUUUCUAGAUAACACAGGGGUAGUAUUUGCAGUUUACUCUAAUAAUAUACGCAUGCCAAAUUAAACAUUCAGGCACUUUUUUACCAUGAUUUUUUACCUUUUUACCAUAACUAUUUACCUUUUGUACUAUUCCUACCCAAUCCUAUAAAAUAUAAAACUCAACAUUCAAAAUGAAAAAAUUCAGGUAUUCAACAAUUUUUGCGAUGGAUCCAAACAACUUAGACCCGGAUGUAAGAUUUUCGUUUUUUCGCACAACCUUAUCUGCUCGUGUGAAUUUUCUUUUCCUUUCUUCCUCCGUUUCUCGCACAGUCCGUAGCCUCAUACGUUAAUGUGAGGGCCGAUGGAAAUUGUGGCUACCGGUGCAUUGCCGAAGUUGUUUACGGCAGUCAAGAGAGAUGGCCACAAGUCAGAACUGACUUGGUUGAGGAGUUUAUGGAGCGUUACAAUCUAUAUGCUACUAUUUACGGUGGGGAUGAGGGGGGUCGCAAUACAGUCGCUGAUUAUAUCUUGACAUGCAGUCAUGAGAGCGGACCGGCGCCACGGACGAAAUAGAUGUCAACAGAUAUGGGGUUGGCGAUCGCUACAAGAUACAACCCAAUGGUAUUAAUAUUCACUGAACGGGGUAGCAUCACUUAUCUAACACUAGUUGGGAACCCCGCGUUAUCACGUAUUAUUCAUAUGUCGCUACAUAACGAUCAUUUUAUGAUCAUACGAGUACCGGUUUCAUGCCCUGUUCCUCAUCUCCAUCCUCAGUGGAGGUAUUUUGCAGCUCCCAAUUUACUACCUCUACGAGAUUUUUACGCGGAUCGACUUGCUUUUUGGACGACGUUGACUUCUAGGCAUAGGUAGUACUGUAUUAUUGUAAUUUUGUUGAACAAUUACUUGAUUUUGUAAAUUAAUAAUUGUUGAACUAUUAGUUGAGUUUGUAAAACUAAUUAUUAUUAGUCAAAUUUCACAUGGGAAAAUCGAAAAAAAUAAAUAAUAAUAAUAAUAAUUUGCUCGUGCGUUUUCACACGCACAGAGGCGUUUUGGACGUGUGAUUCAUCACGGGCAAAUCCCCUUUCUUGUUUAAGGNNNNNNNNNNNNNNNNNNNNNNNNNNNNNNNNNNNNNNNNNNNNNNNNNNNNNNNNNNNNNNNNNNNNNNNNNNNNNNNNNNNNNNNNNNNNNNNNNNNNCACGAAUACCAAUAGUCAGGUGCAAAUAAAAAUCAUACACUAGCAAAAAAUCCGAAACUAAUACACAAGUCCAUGCAAAUAGGUAACAUGUCCUACUGUCCACCCCUCGACCCCCGACCCCGAGUCAUCAGGCCUCCCCCGCGACCCCUCCUAGGUAAGAGACGCAAAUAGUGGGCAUGUGAGGUCAACAAGUCCCUCAACUGCGGCUGAAUGCUCAGGAAUGCCUCUGCUGCGUCGUCACCAGUCAAACCGAACACGAUCGGAACUAGGAGCUGAGCUAUGUCGUUGGCGAACGGCUGGUCUGGCGGCACCGCAGCAUCAACCCGUUCUGCAGGCGGAACUCUAUCAGGGUUGCUAAUGAACCGGUGCGUCCGCUCGAUGUACCACUUCAUGUACUCCUCGGCAACUGUUUCUGGCGGCCAGGCUUCAGGGUAUUGCGACAGGUCAAUGAAGUUGGCGUACUCGUUCUGCCACAAGCCGCCAGGAGCUUGGAAAGUGACUUUGUAUCCUGCGCCAAACAAGCCGCGGUUAUGUGGCAAGUUCGAUUCAAUUAUCGGGAAAGGAAUAGUCUGGACUCUUCCAAACUGCCGCAACGCUCGGUCGGGCAUGUACGGCUCCACUAUAUCCAUGAACUGUAUCGUGCCGUAAUACAUGCUCCGAUGAUGCAAGUAAUGUGCACCGGUACCAUACGGGGUCCAACAAACCUAAGCAUAUUUAAACUAAUUAGAAAAAUUCGUAACUCUACUAUAGACAUAAUUAGAAAAAUUAUUACUCACAUCUCUUUCGUUCAUGGCGUCGAGUAUUUUCCGGUAUUCCUGCAGCGUGGUUUUAUUGCCUCCACCAUGGGCCCACAUUCUGCAUCGAGGCUCAAACUCGGCAUAUGAACGGGAAAGAGGUGGUGGAAAGCAGGGGAAAUGCUCAAAGAUCCAGCACUGUAAACAAAUCCAAUGAAUAAAUAAAUAAAAUAGAAGUUUAAAUAAAUAAAUAUUUACUAAUAAAGGUACACGUACCAGAAAGAGAAUAACACAUCCACAAAGACUGUUCAUCCCAGCGCGGGUGGCAAUACCCAAUUGGCUGUACAUGUUUGCUAAGCAUACCGAAGCCCACGACAUUAUCGAGAUCGUUAGUAAAAUGGAUCCACCACGGCUUCAUGUUACACGCUGUUUUGUCUACAAACAAAACAGACCCAAGCAGAAACAUCAAGUAGCCCUUCAUCUUCUUCUCGUCUGUGGCGGAGGGAAGGGUCAACUGAUCUCUCACCUUAACCCAAUCAACUCCCUUGUUUCGAAACAUGUCAUUGGUGUCCAUCAGACCGACACCCAAUACAGAUGCAAGACUCUGUGAGCACUCUUCUGUUAGAGUAGGUGACCAACAAGCCAACAUGUGGCUGUGGUUUUUCGUAUUUAUUAUUGUAAUAAACGAACCUUUAUUCGUAUUAAUGAUAAAACACCUUGGCAUUCUAUAUCUUUGUCCCUUUGUCACAAGCAUAGAUAUAGUCCUUACAGUUAUUACAAGUACCAGUAAUUGAUCGUUAGGAUCGUGAGAUAUUUACUUAAGUAUUAUAACUGUUAAACGUGUUCCUAGUCGAAGGGUUACGCCACUAAUGAGGAUAUCGGCCUUUCCCAUUAAGACUAGCACUUAGUGUAUGUGUACUGCAUCUCAUCAGUAAACGGUAUUCUGAUAUCGGCAUGCAUAAGUGGGUGCUCGUAAGUUGACGAGUUCACUGAACUCCCUCACCCUAGAAAUCUCUAAGUGGUUCCCAAUAAUCGAGUAGAGAUAUCUAUGGUAUAGUUGUACACCAUUAGUUCUUAUGACCUAGACAUCACCGUGACUUCACUAGAGGACCAGCUGUAUCGUGACCAGUCCCUGAGUUCCACCGAGGACCAUCCCAAGGGCCAGUGUUCGUGCAGUCCGAAAUCUAGUGGGAGGUCUGUGCAUUGUAGUCGGGGAUUCGAUCGCUAGAAUAGUCUUGGAUGUCCUGUGUGUUCUGAAAGUUUGUAAUCAUUCUAAGUUUCUGGCCAGAGCUGACUAAGUGAUGAUUAGAGAAUUCGAUUCUCUAAGUCAUGCACGUAAGGAUACAACACUUAGAACGAUCGCACCGUCAUUGAACAUAUAAGAGGUCUCGAUGAACCAAUGCGGCAAUGCCUCUAGUUCGAUCGGGACAUAUGCAUCGAAGGGAGCGUACUGUACGUUAACUAUAUCUGAAGGUUCUUGCAGGCACUUCAUUUGUAUCUAGGGAAUCAUGACGCGUAGUUGCUAGACGCCAAUCUUGAUUCGUUGGGUGAUUAAGGUGAAACGAGCUUCAUCUUAAUCGUAACUCUAAGGGACGAGUUUUGACCACAAAAGGUUGUGGGCCCACGGCUAGCUUACACCUGAACCAUCGAGGGUCACACUGCUCGUGCACAUGAGAUCUUUGAAUAAACGGUCAGAGAUAAAAUAGUUUAUCUUUGCAUAAUUGGAAGUCAAUACGAUUGAGUCCAACAUUCGUAAUUUGGAAUUACGAAUGAGAAUAAGAAAAGGAAACGAAUAGGCGAGCGUUGUAGUGAACUUUCUAAAUCGGGAAGUUUCCAAAUUUAGAAAGUGCACUAAACUAGGGUUUCCACUUUUGGAAAGUUGGAAAAUGAGAACUGACACUCGUAAUGACGAGGACUUUAUAAUGAUUCCGAAAAUGUAAUCGUUGCAAUUUUCCGGUCAUUGGAUUGAGAGAAACGAGCAAGUAAAAGUACUAGCGAACUUAAGCUGUUGGGCCCGGUCCAACUUAAGCCCGCUAGGGUUUUAUGCAAGACACUAUAAAUACAAGAUUUAUAGGUCUUGCACAAAACAAGUGAAAACCCUAACCCUAGCAGCCGUUCUCCCUCUCUCUCUCGCCCUCUCCCCGCGGCCGAAACCGGCGCCGUCGCCGGAACUUCACCGGAAUCGGCCGUUCGUCGGCCGAUUGUUUCGAUAGUUUCUUUCCUUCUCUUUUUCUUCCGUUUUUCUAACUAUUACGUGUCUAGUGCCACGUGUUUAGUAGAUCAAAGUAUACGAGGUGAAAUUCGAGAGGAGGAAGAUCGAAGAUCAAAGAAUCGAGGAGCAGCGCACGAGUCGAAGCCGCACGCUACCCCACGCGCCGCCCCGGAAGUCCGCGCGUGAGAUUCACGCGCCGCCGUGGCCGUCUCACCGUUGCUGCCGCUGCACCGCUGCUGCCCCGAUUGUACGGAUUGGUUUCCGUAGCAAUCUCGACUUACUUAGUGCUCCUACCUUACGCUUCAAGAGGUAAACACACGAACUCGAAGUUCUUGUUUCGUUUACGUUUAAACACUAUAUAUUCAUGUUUGCUUUCGUAUGAUUUUAUGUGAUAAUGUGUAAUCGUUUUAAAUCAUUGCGAGCAUGUUAUUUGGUUUAAACGCGAGCAUGUUAAUUGAUUUAAAUUCGGUUAAAUUAAUUAGCAUAUAUGUUGUUAUUUAAUUUCGCUGGAAGCGCAAAGGUACGCAAUUAAUUGAUUAAUAUUGUUGGGCAUGUGCUUAUGUGUUUUAAACUCGUUUAAUUCGCAUAAAAAUUUUUGUUUUCCGCUGCGUACGCGUGCCCGAAACCCAACAUCUUCUACCGGGCGAAUUUCAGACACUGGCGGUCCGUCCAGCCGCAACGCCAGGAUGAAAGCGACAUCGUGGAGCGUGAUCGUCAUCUCGCCCCAUGGCAUGUGGAAACUGUUCGUCUCCGGCUGCCACCUCUCCACGAAAGCUAGCAUGAGGUUCUUGUUCAUCCUCUUCAGAAACAGUCUCGUAAGUGGUAAAGACAUGUUGCCUCCAGUCUCGCAAUCAUCGUGUUAUCCUGCGGGCCGCGGUAGUCCUCGAGUGCUUUGGUCCUCGACUCGCACCGUGUAGUUUCACGGCGCUCCUGAAAAAUAUUGCAUGUAUUGUUAGCUAAACAAAAUGAAUAAUAUAAGAAUUAUGUAAAGCACGUGUUGACAGAAAACUUACAUAUCCUUCCCAAAUGUACAUCGCUAUAAGCGACUUGAACCAUCGCAUAAACUCUAAAUUUUGUGGCCCUCCCUCGCACGGACCCUCCAAGUACGCCGGACCAGGCAGCUGCGGAAAGGGUAAGGCACGACCACCUCUACGAUCCUGAUAUACAUCUGCUGGCUCAUCAUCUUCCUCCAUCUCCUCGUCAGUAUCCAUAUUAUCGGGAUUGUUGUUGUGGUCAUCAUCGUCGUCGGCAUGUGGCAAUGUACUACGAGCUAGCUGGAGAUCGCGUGUAGGUCCACAGGGUCCGGCUCCAGCUGCAACAGCUUCUCGUUUCAGUCUCUCUUCUUCCCGCUGUAACGCUGUACUACGAGCUAACGCUGUCCGAUUUUUUUCAAGAAAUAAAUUUAUAAAAAAAAUAUAUAUAUUUAAACGCUCGCGUGAAUUUACACGAGCGCAGUGGAUGCGCUCGUGUAAAUUCACGCGAGCGUGGCCAAAUUUUGAUUUUUUUUCGUUUUUUUCGGAUUCGUAAUCUACAUAACAAGAGGAUUGUAAAAACGUAAAAAUUACCUCCGAUCUGUUAACGAUUUGCACGAGCUUUGCGAAAGAAAAUCGAAAGAGUAGAGAGAGUUUUUGAGUUUUUUACUUUUUGUUUUCUGAAGAAUGGUAAAAAAUGUGUCUGACUGUUUAAUAUGUGUCUGCACAAAUCAUUUCAGAAUUUUUAUACUACCAACUAUUUUAAUCGAUUAUAUACAAAAAAAAAGAAAAAAAAAAAAAAAAAAAAAAAAAAGCGCCACUCCUUUUAUAACUACUACAUCAAUUUUGGGCUUAGCCUUAUUUUGCCCCAACCAUACUAACAAAAACCAUGUGGGCCCAAACGGUUCCGACCUAUUUACAAUUUUACCCCUGCAACUCGACCCCACCCCCCUAUAUAUAGCGAACCUUCCUCCUCAUUUCUCAAAAACCCCCAAAAGAAUAAAACCGCUCCGCCAAACACACCCUUAAGAAGAAGAAGAAAAAAAAAACAGUGCCCUCUGCAAUGGCGAAGGGAGGAAAGCUCACCAAAAUUAAGUCGGUCCUGAAGAAAAUGCAGUCGUUCAAGCUCGGCCGCAGCAGCAGCAGCUCCAUCGCCGCCGCCAAUUGCUCCUCCUCCGACGAUGACUCCUUCGUCCCCGCCUCCGCCGCCGCCGCAAAGGACCUCCACCCGGUCUACGUCGGGAAAUCGCGGCGGCGCUACCUCGUAACCUCCGACGUCAUGGAAAAUCAGCUGUUCCGCGAGCUCGUCGAGCGGCGCUCCGGCGACGGCGCCUCGAUCACCGUCGGUUGCGAGGUGGUGCUGUUCGAGCACCUGCUCUGGAUGCUGGAAAACGCCGAUCCCCAGCCGGAGUCGAUGGACGAGCUCGUCGAGUUCUACGCCUGCUGACGGCGACGGCGGCGCGCCGUUAGUUAGUAACUGUCACUGUCAGUAACUGGAAAAGUUAACGGAGUGGUGGUAGUGAUUGCCUGCGGUCAUCCCCAAGAUAUGGUGUAUAGUACUAGUAGUGUAUAUUUUUAUUAAUUUUUAAUUAUUAUUUUUUCCGUAAUUUCAAUAAUGAGAUGAUGAUUAGCGGUGUAGAAUAAAUAUACUUUGAAGAAGGAAGAGAGGAUUAAUUAAUUAACCCAUUCUACACGGCUAAGCUUUAGUUAAUUAAGGAGGAGCUUAAUUAAUGGGUUUUGUACUAAUAUUUUUCAGAGUUUGUAAUUCAUGUUUAUUCAUAUUAUUUCCCAAAUUAUUCAAUUUUUAGUUGUAUUAAUUACUACUAAAAAUAUUUUCUCAUUAUUGCACACAUUCUUAGUAAUUUGAUUUCUUAGUAAGUAACCGCCCCUAAUUGUAACAAAUAUAGUAGAUACACGACAUAUUAACACUUGAUAAAUUAAUAAUCUUGCAUGAAUAAUGUUUCUUCUGAUCCCGGCUCGUUAAAAACCAAUUAAACUAUUACUUCGAUAACUUAAUUAUUCGCUUAAUUAAAUAGAAUUUUGAUAGUUUCGACUGUAUUAAUUUAACAAUGUUUAACUGUACAUGACAAAAUUGGUAAAAUGUCGUGGUUUUGCUUUGGUGAUUAAGUAUAGAGAAUAUUUAGCAAAAGACAAUGAGAAUGUUAAUCGAUGUAUUAAACAAGUUCCUAACACCUAGUUAAGAAAUGGUUUAAUAAUUAAUUAAGACUCAAGUUUUGUGAUUAGGUUCCCAAAACCUAUAUAGCUUGUCCAAAAAGAGAUAAAAUAUUGCUUAAUCCCUUUUUUAUCUGAACUUUAGCCGACACUAAUUGGAACUAUCUAUCUACUAACCUUGGUUAUUAAAUUAAAAAAACAGCACUACUUUUUUCUAAUUGUCCUAACUACAAAAAGACAAGUCAAAACAUAAACCUGCAAUAUUUUUUAAUUAAUUAAUUACGAAUAUUAAUAUUCUCCACUGUCUUUAUAUUAGAUUAAUUAGCAUCAAAUUCAGUAGUUUAAUGUACUAAUGAUUGGGUGGUUAGAGCAACCUUUAAAUUAGAAGCAGUUCUGUUUGUUGUUAUGAUCAGUGAUGAGUCCACCCUCAGGGCAACGAUGAAAUCAAACCCCCGUCAAUAGUUAAAAGAAAAAAAUCAUUUAUAUUAUAUCUAUAUAUUUAUUUAGUUCAUCCAAAUUUUAUUAUUUUGCACACCCUCGGGCAACAGUGAAGUUGAUUACGUGACAGCAAACAUAGAUUUGGCAAGGGACAACAAAAUUUCGACAUUAAAUGCUUGAAGAAAUAACUAGUCAUAUUAGGCAACUAAUGCUUCAUUUUUUCCUUUCGAGAUUAGCACCUAAAAACAUGUCGAAAAAUAAUUCUAAUUCGGUACUUGCAAAAAUACCGGAAAUCGGAAAUUUAAAAAUGGGCAGAAAAAAUUUAUGUUAAGAGGAAAAAAAAAUCAGAUCGAAAUGGGCAGAAUUCGGAUAUUCUAUUUUUAAAAGAAGUUGAGUUAAGCGAAAAAUGAAUGUAUAGUCGGAAUAAGACGACCGCAUUUUUCGGCUUUGCGAAGGGCAGACAACCAAUCAUGCGAAUUGACAUUUUUUAGGAAUGAUAUAUGACAUUUAAAGAAACUACAUUUUCAUCCUUCAAGUUUGCACGACUUCUAUAUUUAGUCCUUAACAUUUCUAAAAUUCAAUACUUGUAGUACAUUUGUCAUUUUUUCGUUAGUACUAAUGGAAUCAAGAGUGUUCCCAUCACUGCGUUAAUUAAGAAACUAACGGUAAAUUGACGGAAAUGACCAACAAUGUUAAAUUAUUGAAACAUAAAGGACCAAAUGUGAAAUCGUUGCAAACUUAAGGGGUAAAAAUUGUAAUUGUAAAAUAACAAUUAAUCGUUUUUGUUUAAUUGGAACAGAAAAUGAAGAAAAAAUAUUUUCAAAAAAAAAAGGAAAAUGAAGAAAAAAUUAAAACAAAAAAAAAACAAGGAAAUUAAAAUGGGUAGAAGCCAACAGGAAAAAUAGUAAGCAUGGUUCGGCCCACAGGACACCGCAAAUUAUAGGGCCCACUAGCUGCAGAAUGUAGGUCUUUUCCAGUCAAAACCAGCAUCAAAUUAACAAAUUCUUGAAAAAAUACGUACGAAUUAAUAUUAUUAUUAUUAUUAUUAUUAUACAAUAAAUUCGAUAAUCAUUUUUUGGGGUUGAAUUUUGAAAUUAUGUAUUACAUAUUCAAAGAUUUUGCACUUUUUUAGUUGGCCCCUCUGUGGAUCUCCAAAAUUUUAAUAUUCGAAAAAUACGGAAAAUAUUAAUAUUAAAUAAUAUAUAUCUCUGACAAAUUAAAAUUUAGUGAAAGACUUCAAAUGUAAUUUGUCUGAACUUGAGGGAUCAUAUUAAAAAUAUUAAUAUUAAAUAAUACAAUUCACUAACAGCCUAAGUAUUAGUCAACAUGCAUUUAUAAAAUCAACGAAUCACCCUAUCAAAACUGAGAUUGAAUUUAUUACCUCCCAAAAGGUAACGGAGGCAAGCAAAGGUUUCCUCCUACCGGACAGACGGAGAUUAGCGCUCGAGUGCAAAGGUGGACGGGAGUUUGACUGCAAAUAAAUAACUAAUCCCAACAUAGAGUUAAGUUCAAAACUUACAUGCAACAUAUGUUAAAUUUCAUUCUUUAAAUUUGAAAAUUAAGAUUAAUUACCAAAUAAAAAAGGAAGGUAAGAAUAUGUUGAGGAGUGAGAAAAAUCCAAAUAGGAGAGAAGCAAUAAACAUGACAUGUGAUGGGAAUCCCACUAGCUAGUUUUGUGUAUUUUAUUUUUAUUUUUUUUCCAUUCUCUAAUUAAUUAAAUAUUUCAAAAGGACAAAACAUUUAUUCAUCAAGGUAAACUAAUUAAUGUAUGUCCAUCCAAAAAUGUAGUCCUCUCUCAACCAAAUUCACCAUCAUUUUAUAAUGUAUGAGAGGUUGGUUGAGGAAAUGCUCUUCGCUAUAUAGUCUAUAUUUAAUUAAUAGCCCUAUAUAUUAAUUAAUGUAUGUAUAAUAAGAACUAGCGUAGCCAGAAUUUUAAAUAUGCGGGAGCCGAAUGCAUUCAUAAAAUUCUAGAUAGGAUCGUUAAUGUAUGCUAUUAUACACGGAUUUUUUUAUAAUUCUACACGAAAUAAAUGUUGGUGGCCAUGGCCCUCUGUUCCUAUGUUGGCUCCGCCACUGAUAAUAGGAGAAAUAGAUUAAGUACAGUAGAAAUACGAUCUGUUAAUGUCACACCUCGUAAAAUAUACACGAAAUAGCUAGUUAUCACAUUAGAAUGCACAUUCAAUAUUNNNNNNNNNNNNNNNNNNNNNNNNNNNNNNNNNNNNNNNNNNNNNNNNNNNNNNNNNNNNNNNNNNNNNNNNNNNNNNNNNNNNNNNNNNNNNNNNNNNNACAUUUUCUAAAUUAUAGUAAAUUAUAUUUAAUAAAUAUUCAUAUUCCAUGUAAUGAAAUACAAUUAAGAAAUUUUCUAUAAAUAAAUUGCCCAAAUUUUGAUUUAUAUAUAUAUAUAUAUAUAUAUAUAUAUAUAUAUAUAUAUAUAUAUAUAUAUAGGGAGAGAGAGAUCACAACCAAUAGAUGACAAAAAUGAAGAAAGCAUGUGCUAUAGCGCUUGUUUCGGGAUAUAUAUGAAUUUGCUACAACCAGGGUUUUGACCCCUCUGCCAUUCAGGCCUAUACCCCUCCUGCACUUGCUUUAAAUAUUAAUCUUUUAAAUAAAUAAAUAAUAAUUACAACCUACCAUAUCUUAGCAAGAUAUAACAUCUUAUAAUUUUCAAAAAUACCUUAUUAUAAGCUUUAUGAGUAUUAAUAUAAGGUUUUUCUUGAAUAAAUUGAUCAAACAACCUCCUAUAUCCAUUAUUAUUUUAGUAUUUAAUGAAGUAUUACUUUUGAAGAAGAACGUGUAACGAACAAGAGGCGUAAAACGCAUUGGAAAAAACUAUGUGUGACGAGCUCUUUACCAAAAAAAAUGUUGUUUUCAGGAGAAAUCAAACACGUGUCGUUGAAUUUUUUAUUAUUAUAUUAUAUAUAAAUUUGAUUCCAAAGAAAAACCUUUGAUUGGAACAAUUGAGCAGAUAGAAUGAUCUGGCCCAGCCUAUGAAUUGGGUCACAGCCCAAUAUCAGCACAAAGUCUUUGUGACAGCCCAAUAAAAGGAAAUAUUAACUUAUUAUUAUUAUUAUUGAAAAAUAAUGUUUUACGCGAUAUGGCAUAUGAAGAUAUUUUUCAAUGCCUUUUGUAUUAUGAUAUGUUAGGAUGUUUUUUCCGAGUUCGAAACGCUACUCAACAUAGCUCAAAAUGCUACUUCUAUGGAGAAGAGGGUACGGUCGAAUUGAGUAAAAAAAGGAUGACCGAAUUGCUGAAGAAGAAAAGUGGAAAACAAAAUGUUUAGUAGGGCGCAAAGUGCCGAGCAAAUUGCAGUUGAAGGGUGAUAAAUGGUAAAAAAAAAAAAUUAAGGGUGCAAAGUGCAAAUCACCCAAAAUAAACGCAUAAAAAUCAAUUGCAUUUUUGUAAACAAAUAUACACACAAUCGUCCAUAAACAAUUAUAAACUGCGUUUUAUAAAAGAUGAUAUAUAGCUCCAAAAAAAAAAACCAUUUACGUACAUAUCUUUUUUUGCAACGUGCAUUAAGUUUCAUGAGACAGUUCUCUCCGGUGAUUCUCCAUGCAAUGCAACAAAUACUUAAAGGUCUCGAUUUCGCACGGGAUGGUCAACCCGCCGCUGUGGUCAAACCCAAACUCCUCCUCCGCUUUCGCCAGCAGCACCUUAAACAACGGAUCGCUAAGGUAACUCAUCGGAAUAAUAAACCUCCGAAGCUCGGGCUCCACGUACACGGCGAGAAACCCUUUCGGCACGCCGUGCGCCGGCUCGGGNNNNNNNNNNNNNNNNNNNNNNNNNNNNNNNNNNNNNNNNNNNNNNNNNNNNNNNNNNNNNNNNNNNNNNNNNNNNNNNNNNNNNNNNNNNNNNNNNNNNNNNNNNNNNNNNNNNNNNNNNNNNNNNNNNNNNNNNNNNNNNNNNNNNNNNNNNNNNNNNNNNNNNNNNNNNNNNNNNNNNNNNNNNNNNNNNNNNNNNNNNNNNNNNNNNNNNNNNNNNNNNNNNNNNNNNNNNNNNNNNNNNNNNNNNNNNNNNNNNNNNNNNNNNNNNNNNNNNNNNNNNNNNNNNNNNNNNNNNNNNNNNNNNNNNNNNNNNNNNNNNNNNNNNNNNNNNNNNNNNNNNNNNNNNNNNNNNNNNNNNNNNNNNNNNNNNNNNNNNNNNNNNNNNNNNNNNNNNNNNNNNNNNNNNNNNNNNNNNNNNNNNNNNNNNNNNNNNNNUGGGGUAAAUUACAACCACCCCUGAAGUAUGGUAAAAUUACGAAAACUCCAUCAUGUUUAAUUAAUUACAACAACACCCUCAAAUGUAAAUUUUCUAACACUUCCACCCUUGCAGUUUUAAAUUUAGUGGAAUCUUCUUGAUUAUAUGGAAUAUUAUCACUUUUGUACACGUUUUAUCCCAUUCGAGCUCCACAUUUUGAAAGAAGAUGAUCAUAAGAUGUGUUUUUUGGCUUGUAUAUUUCAGAUUGUGGUGCAUCAGAAACUGUAGUUUUACGCAAAAUGAGUACAAACUAUAGCACAUUCCACGAAAUUGAGAUAAUAACACCAUAAGGGUGGAGGUGUAAGAAGAUUCAGAGUUGAGGGUAGGGUUUUUCGUAAUUUGACCAUACCUUAGGGAGGGGUGGUUGUAAUUUACCCAUUCUUUUUCUUUAAUUAAUAUAUAAGUAAAAAGAUACCUCUAGAGAAUAGAAAAAUCAUAUAAAAUAUGCAUGAAAGCGCACACACAACACGGUGUCGUGUGCGAAAUUGGGAAAUACCAGAUAUCCGUGGUGGCAACACGGCGGAGGAGGGGCGGCCGGGCGGGGCGGGGUCAGCAGUCAAUGAACCAGAGAGGAAUAGUUAUUUGUACGCAUUAGAUUAUCAUGUAAUCGUCUGUGUUAAUUUUGGAUCUGCCUGGAAAAUGC
rnacentral:lncRNA from 1 species